GCCAGCAGCCAUAUCGCCCUGCAACUCACAGCUGGCAGCCCACUGAAGCUCAGCAGCUGGGAGUCUGGCCAGUACCUGGAUGGGAGACCUCCUGGGAAAAACUAAGGUUGCUGCUGGAA
rnacentral:rRNA from 1 species